rnacentral:rRNA from 1 species
CAGUAGCCACGGUAACACGAAGGGGGCUAGCGUUGUUCGGAUUUACUGGGCGUAAAGCGCACGUAGGCGGAUCGAUCAGUCAGGGGUGAAAUCCUGGAGCUCAACUCCAGAACUGCCUUUGAUACUGUCGAUCUCGAGUCCGGAAGAGGUGAGUGGAACUCCUAGUGUAGAGGUGGAAUUCGUAGAUAUUAGGAAGAACACCAGUGGCGAAGGCGGCUCACUGGUCCGGUACUGACGCUGAGGUGCGAAAGCGUGGGGAGCAAACAGGAUUAGAUACCCGGGUAGUCCCUGUCUCUUAUAC